rnacentral:rRNA from 1 species
UACGGGGGGGGCAAGCGUUGUUCGGAAUUACUGGGCGUAAAGGGCUCGUAGGUGGCCAACCCAGUCGGACGUGAAAGCCCUCGGCUUAACCGGGGAACUGCGUCCGAUACUAGUUGGCUUGAGUCUGGGAGAGGGAUGUGGAAUUCCAGGUGUAGCGGUGAAAUGCGUAGAUAUCUGGAGGAACACCGGUGGCGAAGGCGGCAUCCUGGACCAGUACUGACACUGAGGAGCGAAAGCCAGGGGAGCAAACGGG